rnacentral:rRNA from 1 species
AUGUCGAAGCGCGUUUGAACCGUCGGAGAGCCGCAAAAGAGGCGAAGCGUGUGGCGAAGCGUGAGGCAAAACGUGAAGCGAAAACAGGUUUUAAAAGC